rnacentral:miRNA from 3 species
AAACCGUUACCAUUACUGUGUU